CUCCUGACUCGCGGCCGCCCGGAUCCCGCGAGGCAUCGGUACCUCGCGAUGCUGUUCUACUUGGACAGAGCCCGCAGGGGGGACGGUGAGGCCCCAAGACCCACGCUUUCCGCGGGCGCCCCUCCGUGCUGUCUCUUGGGGGCUGCGGGAAGGGGGACCCAAGUCCCCCAGUUGUAUUGAUUUCGCUGCUUGACCCCCUUCCUGCGCACCCCUCUCGCUGACCCUAAAGACCUGAGGGAUCCCAAGGCAGGGGCUCUCAUAGAUGGAGGAAGGAGGCUGCCACCUGCAGUUUUGGAAGCUCCUGUUGGAUUAGAAACUUAAUGAAUGCCAAGAUAUGGUCGCAGAAACGGCAGUACAUUUUUAAACUUUACAUCAAGAACGACCUUUAAUGUUAGGUAGCCGUGCUAUUCAGGAGAUCGUUACUGGAUUUAGAGAGCCACCCUCCAGCCCAGACCCUGAGGAUCCAGAACAGUCUUCUUCAGACAGGAGCCACGGCUUAAUAUCUGAGACAUCCUCCCAACAAGGAGGUCUUAUUCUGGUUUUCAAAAGCUUCCAUUUGGGUGCAAUUGCAUCUUUUAUGAGCUGUUAGGAUAUGAGGCUUCUAAACCGCUCUUGUGAUAAAGUUCAAUUGGAAAUGUACACAAAGAAGGCACUGUGUGUCCCAGAUGAGAACACCAAGAGAAUGAAAUGUGGCUGGACUUAGAACAGAGACAACCACUUGGACUCUGGGACAAUGUUACCGGGUUUUACAAGUUAUAAAACAUCAUGCUUGGGAACCAAAAGAUUAUGUGUUCUCAGGUGUUGGGGGAAAUAACACAUCAGCCCUAGGUUUCAGGCAGUGGAAGUGACUGCCUCCUUCCUUAAGAGAUCUCUAGCAUUUGGUUCAUAAGAUUUGCCAAUUGGGUUUCAUUUGCCAUAUUGAGGUGAACUCAUGACCUUAUAAUUACCAUCGUUAUGUAUUAGGCUCCUCACGUAUGUCUGCUGGUUUUCAUUUAAACUUGAAAAUCCCUGA